rnacentral:lncRNA from 1 species
GAGGCGGUUUUUCCUCCCUGUUUCAUCUCUCCCUCGUUGGCUAGGGCGCGGGGCAGCCCCAGUUCUCCUCCUGCGGCAGCACCGCCGAGAAAGCGCGGGCUGUGCCCAGAGAGCCCGAAAGUAGCCUUAGGGGAAUGGAUGCCGUGUGCUUUUUAGAGAUGGGGAAACUGAGGCGAAAGGGCUUUCUCCUGCAAGGCACCGUGAGUUAUUUGCGGUGCUGUGUAAUCCCGCCUGUUGCCUUCAAAGAGAAUAUGGGAAGAGAUGGCAUUUUAUAAAACUUCUUGUAAAUGAGGCGUCACAAACUGUGGAAUGUGGAUCUUUCUUCCCUAAGUAGCCAGGGAGUUUAUUUCCCAGGGUGGGAAAUAAAAUCAAAGAAGUAGGUCUUGGAGAUCUUUAAAAGAUUCAAUGGCUUGUUUGGGAGCUGAGGGAAGGCUGCAGAACUUGUUAAAUGUCACGGAUCAUCCCUGUCACCUCAAAUGGUUCCCUCGAAAUAAAACUGGCCUUGAAGGGAGUGGGUGGAUGGAAUAUAUAGCAAGAGGGAGAAAAUGAGCAAUCCUGGGAUUGGUGUUUGCCCGAAGGAGGCAGGCAGGCAGCGCAGCGCUGGUGGCCCUGGGGAGCCAGCGCGCCGGCUGCGGGCACCUGACCUGGCACCGGGCAGCUCCCAGGAGCCAGGCUGCCGCACAUCACUGCUCGCGGGCGAAUUUCAUCUCCUUGCACCGGGUAUGGGAGCUGAUGGCUACAGGCCAUCUCUGUAUAGGGAUGAUCUCCUGCAGGUCCUUGAACUUCCUAUGCUGGAACUAUGAUGCUGUUUUUAUCCUCUCUGCCAGUGCUGUGUGUAAUGCUUCUGUUAGUUGGGGAGAGUCAGACUGAAGAGUGGUCGUAGAAGAAGGCAUAAUG